rfam:Schistosoma mansoni strain Puerto Rico chromosome 3, complete genome
AUCUAGCUGACGAGUCCCGAAUGGGGCGAAACACGAGUUCUAGAU